UCUUCAGCUCACUAUUAUCCCUGGUGUGAAAGCAGAAGAAAGACAGUAUGAAUCAUGCAGCUGCUGGAAAAGAUUAUCUGUAACAUUACCAAACCUAUCAUAAAACAGGAGGGGGAGAAUUGAAGACUUGCUGAGAAUUCAUGUCAAAUAUAACACAGUUUCAUGUAUGAUCUUGUUGCUACGGGAAACAUCACCAAAACAUGGGGAUAAUUCCUAUGACUACAUUUUCUGGAGCUCUACCAUUAAUGCUGUUCUUGAGACUUCACUGACCAUGAGAAACUAUUGGAGAUGGAGUUCAAGAUACACUCAUAUAACACCAUAUAUUGCAACGGACUUGCUGUAAGAAAUGUUAAUGUUUGAACUAAGGUAGCUGGGAUAGAGCCAACCAGUGUUAUGAAUUUUUUACUUGUUAUCGGGACAUAAAGUCUUUUGGAAAGUUUUUAAGGUCCUGGGUUGUCUUUACAACCAUCCUAAAACACACUCAUUUUCUCUCCUACUUCCCAAUUUUAAUUCCUUUUCCCCGUCAUCUUUCCUGGUAUCACCAAUGCCUUUCCAUCCAGGUCUGCCAUAUGUGCUUGGGGGCAGGGAACAGUUUCUCUCCCAUGAUAAGAAUCAUCUGGCAUAGGCUCUGACAAUGAUGAAGUAACUGGCAUCAGAAUUAACCUCUUGCCUGAAAAGACAUGUACAUGAGGAAAUUAUCAAAGGCCUGGAAAAGAAAUAUCACAAAAGGCAAAUGAAAUCAUUCCUGGAGCUCACACAUGGCCAGGGUUAAUGUUAGUUUCCCACCAGCCAGACGGAGACAAACCUUGCAAGUCAUAGGGCAAAAAGAUGAGAACUCAGAAGGAUGUUGCCUCAGUUACGAGACCAAAUAGGUCCUAUGCUGAAGGUUGCACUGAUAUUGCUGAACAAAAUUUAAGAACAAGCUUGACAAGAAUCAAGCUGUUCCCAAGGAACUUAACUGUGUUCCACAAAGUCACUUACCCAUAGUUCCAGAAACACUGAAAAUUCUGAUAAUCAGCAGAUGUUGGGCAUUCAUUCAAAAAUUACCAGCUAUGCAAAGAAGCAGGAAAAAACAACCCAUAACAAAGAAAAUAAUCGGUCAAUAGAAAUAGACUCUGUAAUGAUAAAGAUCAUAAAAUCGGUAAUGACAUCAAAUGGUACACUUUAAAGAAGUACAGCUUAUUGUGUAUCAAGUUUACUACCAUAAACCUGUAAGGUUUUUUUUUUCCAAAUAAUCAGUUGACAUAGGUCACUCAAUAUUUUUCCAUCCACAAAACCUGUCGUCUACUCUCAGUGUGACCGUGCCACAGCGUGCAAAUGAUGAUUGUAAGAAUGUCACCUCUUCCUAUUUUAUGAAGUUGCUCCUCGGGAUCCCAAAGGAUGCCAUGCCCAAAGUGAUUUGCCUGGAAAUCUGAACGUUGAGGAGCUGAAGGUGAAGGGAAAAUCAAAGCCGGAAGGAGGAAUGAAGUCAGGAUGCUACAGCCACUGCAGAGGGCUGCCCUGGCCACGGCCAUGCCCACAAAGAUUUCCACAAGUACAAAUAAGGCCACUGACUGUUUCUCCCAAACACCGAAAACCGAAGUCUUUCCAACUUCAUAAUGAGAACCAAAGCAGGUCUGUGCUGAGGACCACACAGUCCAGGGAGGUGAUAACAAGUGUGAAGAGUGGAAUUAAGACAGGAAAAUUGGGCUGCCUGGGUGACUCAGGUGGUUUAGCGUCCUACUCUUGAUUUGGGCGCACGGUUUGUGAGUUCAAGCC